rnacentral:rRNA from 1 species
GAGACCCACGCCAACAGUUGCCAGCUCAUCCUCCGGGAUGGUGGGGACACUGUUGGGACCGCCUCUGCUAAAGAGGAGGAAGGAAUGGGCAACGGUAGGUCAGCAUGCCCCGAAUUAUCCGGGCUACACGCGGGCUACAAUGGUCAGGACAAUGGGUAUCGACACCGAGAGGUGAAGGCAAUCUCUUAAACCUGUCCUUAGUUCGGAUUGUGGGCUGCAACUCGCCCACAUGAAGCUGGAAUCCGUAGUAAUCGCGUCUCAAAAUGGCGCGGUGAAUAU